rnacentral:lncRNA from 1 species
GGUAAGAGAAAACACAGGUGUGCCCCCUCCAACAGCUACCCCAGUAGCUCGGCACCAACUCCACCACCACCAUAGAAGAAGUGGAAUACGAAUGACACCCCGACUAUAAAGAGAAAUGGCCGCCAUGGCAGCCAACAUGAGGGACAUUGCUAGCCAGAACAUGGAUAUAAGGGAACUUAUGGCCCAAAUGCAAGGCCAGGGAGGCUUCCCUAUUUC